rnacentral:rRNA from 1 species
AUACGUAGGGGGCUAGCGUUAUCCGGAAUUACUGGGCGUAAAGGGUGCGUAGGUGGUUUCUUAAGUCAGAAGUGAAAGGCUACGGCUCAACCGUAGUAAGCUUUUGAAACUAAGAGACUUGAGUGCAGGAGAGGAGAGUAGAAUUCCUAGUGUAGCGGUGAAAUGCGUAGAUAUUAGGAGGAAUACCAGUUGCGAAGGCGGCUCUCUGGACUGUAACUGACACUGAGGCACGAAAGCGUGGGGAGCAAGCAGGAUUAGAUACCCUGGUAGUCCACGCCGUAAACGAUGAGUACUAGCUGUCGGGGGUUACCCCCCUCGGUGGCGCAGCUAACGCAUUAAGUACUCCGCCUGGGAAGUACGCUCGCAAGAGUGAAACUCAAAGGAAUUGACGGGG